GACGUAGGGCGCGAGCGUUGUCCGGAUUUAUUGGGCGUAAAGAGCUCGUAGGCGGCUCGUUGCGUCGGCUGUGAAAACCCGCAGCUCAACUGUGGGCUUGCAGCUGAUACGGGCGGGCUGGGAUUCGGUAGGGGAGACUGGAAUUCCUGGUGUAGCGGUGAAAUGCGCAGAUAUCAGGAGGAACACCGGUGGCGAAGGCGGGUCUCUGGGCCGAUAUUGGCGCUGAGGAGCGAAAGCGUGGGGAGCGAACAGG
rnacentral:rRNA from 1 species